GACGAACGCUGGCGGCGUGCUUAACACAUGCAAGUCGAACGGAAAGGCCCUGCUUUUGUGGGGUGCUCGAGUGGCGAACGGGUGAGUAACACGUGAGUAACCUGCCCUUGACUUUGGGAUAACUUCAGGAAACUGGGGCUAAUACCGGAUAGGAGCUCCUGCUGCAUGGUGGGGGUUGGAAAGUUUCGGCGGUUGGGGAUGGACUCGCGGCUUAUCAGCUUGUUGGUGGGGUAGUGGCUUACCAAGGCUUUGACGGGUAGCCGGCCUGAGAGGGUGACCGGCCACAUUGGGACUGAGAUACGGCCCAGACUCCUACGGGAGGCAGCAGUGGGGAAUAUUGCACAAUGGGCGGAAGCGUGAGGCAGCAACGCCGCGUGCGGGAUGACGGCCUUCGGGUUGUAAACCGCUUUCGCCUGUGACGAAGCGUGAGUGACGGUAAUGGGUAAAGAAGCACCGGCUAACUACGUG
rnacentral:rRNA from 1 species